rnacentral:rRNA from 1 species
UUAUCGGAGAGUUUGAUCCUGGCUCAGGACGAACGCUGGCGGCGUGCCUAAUACAUUCAAGUCGAGCGGACAGAUGGGA